UACGUAUGGGGCAAGCGUUAUCCGGAUUUACUGGGUGUAAAGGGAGCGUAGGCGGCAGGGCAAGCCUGAUGUGAAAGCCCGGGGCUCAACCCCGGGACUGCAUUGGGAACUGCCCCGCUCGAGUGCCGGAGGGGCAGGCGGAAUUCCUAGUGUAGCGGUGAAAUGCGUAGAUAUCACGAAGAACUCCGAUUGCGAAGGCAGCUUACCAGUCUGCGACUGACGCUCAGGCACGAAAGUGUGGGUAUCGAACAGG
rnacentral:rRNA from 1 species